rnacentral:lncRNA from 1 species
AUGGGCCUGAAGGAUCCUCAUGGUUUCCUGUUCAAGGAAAUGAUUUCUUGGGCAGAAGGAAAAAAUCUACACUCCAAGGCAGCUCUAAGAGGGCGCUGUGGGCAAAAGCUGGAAUGUCUAAUUAAGGACCUUAAGAGGGACAUGGAUAGAUCCGUGGAUUAUGACCAAGGGAAGAGAAAGCGGAAGACUUCCGCCUGGUACCAGGAGAAGCUAAACUUGACAGAAUUGCCUGAAUUCGGCCCUGAAGAGCCCCAACUCAAGCCCCCACAAUCUCCCACCUCUGCCCUCUUAAAGGCCAAGAGCCCUAUCCCACCCAAAACCCCAGUCAUGACCUGGAGGCCACGGGGCUCCACCACAGUGAAACCCAAGGAGAUCCCCAGGCGAUCUCCCAGGGAUAUGCCCUCCAGGCUCUCCAUCUCAACCCGUCCCUCCCCGCAGCCUCAACCGCCACCUCCUUUAGGGCCAGAGCCAAUCCUCAAAGUCUCCCCAGAAUUCCCUAGACCCGGCUCUGCCGAUCAAAUUCGCCUGCGAAGGACAAAGUCUGAGCCCCAGUGGUAUUCUUCAAUCUUUGAAAAGUCUUUGCCCCUCAAAGCCCCUGAAAAGCCUUUGGGCCGCAGCCUCUCGGCGCCCGCCUUGUUAGGUCCAGCCUGGGCUCCAUUUGGCGAGAAGUCAGUUCGGUUUGCCUUCAAGGCCCAAAGGCGGGAGCCCCAGCCCUCUCCGAUUCGUAAGGAUACCUGGAUCUCACCUAUAGAUGCUCUCAACUACUUCUGUGAGCAGCGGCUCAAAAGGCAUCUGACCCGGCUCCAGUUGCAGAAAGCCUUACAAGAGUGCAAGCCGAACAGUAUUAUCCUGCAGCCCCUGGAUAUCUUAUCCACCUUUCAGUGAGCAAGCACCCUUCUCUGAGAGCCCUCCCGAACAGUGGCAGGAUCUGAAAGCUGUGGGGCUGGUGGGGAGGGGAUCUGAGGAGUCACAUGGUGUCUCCUGCCCUUAGCACCCUGAUAGCCCAGAAGACAGUCUCACCGUCAACCCUGAACCCCCUUCCCAUCCCCAUCCCUUUCCCCUCUCCUGAUGAGGAAGCCCCUGAUCCCUUGGGGAAGUGGAAGGAAAAGGAAAGGGACCAAGCAUUUGUUAGACACCUACUGUGUGCUGAGCAGUAUACUAGGUGUUUCACAAAUAUUUCAUUUGAUUCUCAUCACAAGACUGGAAGGUAGGUACUAUUAUUUCCCCCAUCGUUUAGUUGGGAAAGCUGAAGAAGAGGUUAAGUGAAUCACCCAAGGUCACACAGCUUGGCAGGAUUUGAACCCAGGUCUUGCCGAUUCUUAGCUCAGUGCUCUCUCUGCACCACCUAGGUCCCUAGAGCUAUUUGGAUGACUGGUGGUCAGGAAACUUUUCUCAUAACCAUCUAAAAUUGGAUGCCUAAUAACUUUUACCCAUUGCUCCUUAGCUCUACUCUCUGGGGUCAAGAAAACACCUUCCACCCUGCAUCCCUUCAGAUACUUAGAAUGAUUACAUCUCCCCUAAGUACUCUCUUCUCCAGGACAAUUGCAGUCCCACAGGGACAGUGUUUAUACUAGCACAAGGAAUCAAGUGGGCAUAAGCCACCAAGUCAAAUCUGCAAGCAUUUAUCAUUUACUAUGUUCCAGGCACUUGUUCUAAGUGUUGCUGAUACAAAUAACAGCUAAUGAUAAGGGCUAGCAUUUAUAUAGUCCUUUAAGUUUGCAAAGCACUUUACAAUUAUCUUGUUGAAUCCUCACAACUACCCUGCAAAGUAGGUACAAUUAUUAUCCACUUUUACAGUAGAAGAAAUUAAAACAGACAGAAGUGACUUGCCCAGAGUCACACAGCUAGUAAGUAUAUAUCUGAAACUGGAUUUGAACUUAGAUCU